GCCGUGACCCUGCUGGAGUUCGGGGUGGAGCUCCAGUCCCCCGGGGGGUCCCUGUGCCUCCUCUGCCGAGGGUCCGGGUUCGAUUUUGGCAGUUUUAGGAUGGGCUGGCAUCAACAGAGACCCGGGCAGACGGUGGAAUACAUCGCCAGUAUCAGCAGCAGUGGUGUCAGCACCUACUACGCAGAUCCGGUCAAGGGCCGGUUAAGGAUCUCCAGGGACAACGGGCAGAGCUCGGUGACGCUGACCAUGAACAACCUCAAGGACGAGGAUUCCGCCAACUAUUUCUGUAUCCUGAACUGGCCCUUGGCCAACGGCGCUUAG